rnacentral:rRNA from 1 species
ACUCCUACGGGAGGCAGCAGUGGGGAAUAUUGCACAAUGGGCGCAAGCCUGAUGCAGCCAUGCCGCGUGUAUGAAGAAGGCCUUCGGGUUGUAAAGUACUUUCAGCAGUGAGGAAGGUGGGUAUGUUAAUAGCAUAUUCAUUUGACGUUAGCUGCAGAAGAAGCACCGGCUAACUCCGUGCCAGCAGCCGCGGUAAUACGGAGGGUGCGAGCGUUAAUCGGAAUUACUGGGCGUAAAGCGCAUGCAGGUGGUUUGUUAAGUCAGAUGUGAAAGCCCGGGGCUCAACCUCGGAAUUGCAUUUGAAACUGGCAAACUAGAGUACUGUAGAGGGGGGUAGAAUUUCAGGUGUAGCGGUGAAAUGCGUAGAGAUCUGAAGGAAUACCGGUGGCGAAGGCGGCCCCCUGGACAGAUACUGACACUCAGAUGCGAAAGCGUGGGGAGCAAACAGGAUUAGAUACCCUCGUAGGCCAGC